rnacentral:sRNA from 1 species
UUUCCCUUCCUUCCUUCCUUCCUUCCUUCCUUCCUUCCUUCCUUUCUUUUUUCUUUUUCUUUUCUUUUCUUUUUUUUUGGUAAGGGGUGCAGAGAAGGUGAUCAGAUGUUAGGCAUCUGUUGUCACAGAAAUAAUGAAAUAUGGAUGAAUUAAGUGCCACAAGAACAGAAUAGAGGACCUGACAAGGUCUGUAACAUUUGUGAGAGGAAAAAAAGAAAGACAACAGGGGGAAGGGAGGGAGGAAGGGAAAGGAAAAGAAAAGGAAGGGAGGAAGA